rnacentral:lncRNA from 1 species
UGAAAAAGAAAUAUGCCAUAUCAGGUCUCCCCCAAGGUCCAUAAACGGUAAAGAACCGCAACCCAGUAAGCGAGAGACCAUAUAUAUGAUUGUAAGUAUGGGCCAUCUCCUCGCCAGCCUUCUUGGUGGCGGCAUAGAGACUGGCAGGCUGAUCCGUCCGAUCUCUCUCGGAGAAGGGUACUUUUGUAUUGAGUCCAUACACUGAACUCGAAGAAGCCCACACAAUUGCAGGCUGUGGGUUCGCGGAUUUACAGACUUCAAGAAGAUUAACAAGACCAGCAAUAUUACUAUGAACAUAGGAGCUUGGAUUUUCCAUUGCAUACCGAACACCAGCCUGAGCCGCCAAAUGCAUUACAUGGGUAAAUGUAACUACGUCAAAUAGCUUCUUGAGAAGCUCUGAAUCGUUGAUAUCACCCUCCACAAUGAACACACCGGUACGCUCAAGAAGAGCUUGCCGGGCACGUUUCAAGGACGGAUCAUAGUAGUCAUUAAAGUUAUCAAGCCCGACAACGCCAUCGCCGCGGCGCUUGAGUGCGGCGGAGACGUGGGUUCCAACGAAUCCGGCAGCGCCGGUGACGAGCACAGAGAUCCCAUUGCGAGCGCGCACUUUGGCCGAUGAUCGGACCCGCUUUUCCCAGGCAGGACCGCCCCAACUGUAGGACCGGAAGGACCGGAUUGAGGAAUCGGAAGGCAGAGAUGACGAUGACGGCGAUCGGAAGAAAAAGAUGAAAAUCAAGCCCGAGAAAACGAAGGACCAAAAUGUGAGCUUGGCCAGAGAGGAGUGCCACCUGAGCCUCUUUUCCAUCUUGAACUUUCCUGGGGUAGAAGGGAUGUUGUCAAGAUGGGACAUUUGCUUGAGCUGAGACAUUUUCCGUAGAAAAUGGAGGACUCUGAAACAAACCCAGAUUUUCUCUUCCUGUGAAUCCUCAGAAUGUGAGUGAAAUUUGGAGGAAAGGAGAAAUCUAGGGUUCGGGUUUCAGGAAUGAAUCUUGAGAAAUUCCUAGUGUUGCUGUCGAGGAAAAAGAAAUCAAAGAAAAGGGUUUGUUCUCCUUGGCCUCUCUUACCUUAUUGUUCUUACAUAUGUAUGUAUGGAAUCUUACAGUUUCUUGGAAAUAUUGGUUGGUGGUGGUAGUCACUUUUAGGGCUUGUAGUUCUACAGACGGAAGAGGAAGACAUGAUCUUGAAUUAAUAAUUAAGCAAAUACUGAUUUUCUAGAGAGAGAAAAUGACAGAAUUGUAGAGAGAGACAUUAACGCGUUUGAUGAAUUUAAAAUGAAGUAACGGGGAUCAACAAGAGUCAAAGCAAUUGUAAAAAGUCUAAAAACGGUGUGGAAUGGGUUAGAUUCAAUAGAUUUUUAUUUAUUUAUUUUAUAUUUUCAUUAUCACCUUAAAAUCAUAGCAAAAAAAAAAAAAAAAAAACAGAAAUUAAAGAAUGGACGAAUAUAGUAAAAUGGGAAUCUAACUAUCUAGUUUUUUUCCCACCUUAAAUUGAUUGGGAGGCCUUAAAUUUUGAUCUCUCCAUUUUUAAACCCUCUUUGUUUAACAUUAGUUCGUGUGGGGGUUAUUAUCCUUGGAAGGAGUUUUUGGAGAUGGUGUGGAUGAGAUUUUGACGCUAAUAAUGAGGGGUUUACAGUUUUCUCACCAUUGAAAAUGGAGAGAGAUCUGUGGGGAUUUGGAAAUGGGAAUUUUCUUUGGAGUUUUUCAUUUAUGAUGAUGAAGAUGCUCAAGGUUACAACUGUAAUCAACUAACCAAAGUUGCAAGUACCCAAUCAAAUUUUGUUUUUAUUUUCUUGUCUUUUACCAAAGCAUUUCUUUUUCAACAUAGAAUAUAGUGUUAUUGUGUAUUUAAGACACUUAAAAAAACAAUCAACAUUCCUUAGGUUUUUGUAUUUGACUCCAAUUCAUUUGUACCAAAUAUGAGAUAUUAUUACUUUAUAGAUUGGUUUUAUUCCAUUUUAUUUUCAUCUCAUUUGUUUAUAUCUUAAUUUUUUUUUAUUUUUUUUUACUCCAAACUCAUUACUUUGCAUCAAAUCUUAUUUAUCUAUAUUUCAUAUCGGGUUUUAUUACUUUAUACCUUAAUCUCAUUGUGGCCCCCGCAUUUUCGGCUCAAUGCGUUUCCCACUCGAUGGCGAACUCGACUUUUAUUUGAAAAAUUGAUUUUAUUGAUUAGGAAAAAUGACUUGGAGUCGCCACUUAUUUUUGUUUUAUUUUUAAAAGGGUAAACAAAAUAAGAAAGAAAAACCCUAAGUGUGACUCCUUACUUUGGAAAAGGUGGUCUGUGAAAAACCGGAUCGGGUUCGGGGGUCAGGUUACUUAUCAAGAAGGUACGGUAAAGACCGUAGCACCCCUCUAAGCCCCUAAAAUGGGUCUCUACUAAUAAAAUGGAGCAAUCAUAGCAAUUAAUUAGGAAAUCAAUGGAUACCCGGAACUAUCAUGCACAUAUGAGAAUCAGAAUAUGCAUAGAGAAUAACCAAAGUGGAAGUGGAUGUGUACUUGUUCAGCAAACAACAACGCGCUAUCACAAAAUAGGGUUAGUGGACAAACACAGGUUGAUUAUGUACAUAUCACGGAACAUAGCAGAUCAAUCACGCAUGGCAAAUAAAUCAAUCAAUCGAUCAAUCAAUCAAUCAAUCAUAAAAUCAUGUAUGUGGGGCCCCCACCAAAGCCCGUUUAUUUUGCAUGAAUUAAUAUCACAGAUUCUAUUACUCAAGAAUUAUGAAAAGUUCAUUCAUGCUUAUGCAAAGUCAAGAGGAACAAAAGAUUAUUUGAAACCUAAUGGAAUUAAAACAGUUGGAGAGAAAACCAGAUUUUCUUGAAAUUUAUUUGAAAAUUGGAGUCUUGGGAAUUAAAUUUAAGAAUUUGAAUUUUUGAGAUUAAAUUUGAAAGAAAUUGGAAUUUUUAAAAGGAUUUGAGAAUUGAUGUCUUGAAAAUUAAAUUUAAGAAUGGGAACUUUAGAAAUUAGAUUUUAAAGAAAUUGGAAAUCGGAACUUUAAAGGAUUAUUUAAAAAUUGGAAUUUAUUUAAAGUUGGAAUUUUCAAAAAUAAAUAAUUAAGAUGAAUAAAAUAAUAACAAUAGCGAAAAUAAUAAUGAUUAGAUAAAGAAAUGUGAAAAAUGGAAUUUUGAGGGAUUAUUUAAAAAUGGAAUUCUUUUAAAAAUGAAUGAAUCAACAAAUAAAUGGAUAUAAUAAUAAUGAAUAAUUAAAUAAUGUGAAAAUUGGAAUUCCGAAAAAUUGGAUUUGAAAAUUAGAUUUUGAGAAUUAAAGUUUCGGAAAUUAAAUUUGGAAAUUGGAGUUUUAAAACUUAUUUGAAAACAAUUUGGAAUUUUUGAAAAAUUAGUUGAGAAUUAAGAUUUUGGAAAUUAGAUUUAAAAACCUAAGUUUUAAAAAUUUUAUUUGAAAACGUGAAGUGGAAAUUAAGAAAGAGAUGAAAGCAUUUAAUAAAAAAAGAAAAUGGGUCCAUUGUCUGCAGGCUUCAAUAUUUUAUAAUGGGUUGUGUACUACUUUGUUGACUUUUGUUUUUUUAAUUUAUUUAUUUAUUUGUUUUGGCUUCAGCCUUUGCGAGACCUUCACAGUAGAUAAGCCCAUUUUCUAGUUUUUUUGAAACAGAGCUCAAAUUUCUGGGUAUGACUGGUUAUGGAUGGAGAGACCCAUUUUCAGGCGACAUCCGUGGCCAAGGUGGGUGGAAUUAACAGAAGCGAAAAGCAUGAUUUCGGGCAUCAAACUCAAAUAAACAGAGACAAAAAUAAUUCCAACACCAAAAUGAAGAAAACGAAAUGAACUAUAGCUCAGUUAAUGCAACUCACGAAUCAGUCAAAUAUGCACUCUGAUUCGCACCUGGAGAAUCCCGAAAAUCCCUUUUGCUGAAAAUCCUUUUUCAACCCCUCUUUCCCAGCUCCUCUCUCUCUCUCUUCCCGUUCCUCUGUUCUGCUCUCCAGAUUUUUUUCUCUUCAAAGAAACCUCCCAACUGCUACCCGUUUUCCUCUCUUUCACCCAGCUCCCAGCCGCUCCUGAUUCCCCCCCCUCUAAGAUAAUAUUUUCUUCCUUCUUGGGCAAGCCAUUCUGCCUACUACUAGACGUCCCAUCUCGCCGUCUCCUUCAGCUAAAAUCCCGGGAUGGUCCGAAUAGUCAUCAGCAAAAAAUAAAAUGGCCUCUAACUCCUCCCCGAGAGGGGGUCUACACUCAUUUAUUUAUACUUGAUUUUAUCUAUUUUAAUAUCAUGUAUUCACAUUUUUGUUUAAAACCCCGAAUUGCUUUGUACACUUUUAGUAACUUACAUUUGAAAUUCAAUAGAUAUAGAUGCGUGUCUUAGUAAUUUUUUAGUCAAAUGAUAAAAAAAAUUGAAAUUUCAGAUGGGAUUUUUCUUGGACCUCUUAUUAUGGAGUAGUUUUCUUUCCAUUUGUUCUCACUCCUUAGCACAUUGGACUAUCAAAUGAGAUAUGUUGCAUCGUGUUUAUGCAUGGUUUGUAGAAGAAAUAGAAUGAAAAAUAUAUUAAAUUUUAAUAUUUGAUAUUUUUUAAAUAAAAAAUAUAUCAUAUGUUAAUGUUUGUUAUUAAAAAAUAUAAAAUCUUUUUCAUCUUUACUAUCAUUUAAAAAUUAUUUUAUAAUUUAUCAUUUAAUAAUUAUUUCUUAUUUCUAUAUUAAUAAUAUUCAUGAUUAAAAUUUUAUAAUUUUAUAAAUAAAAAAUAUUAAAUUAUAUUGACGUAUAUAUAAAAAUGUUUUCUACAUAUUACAUAUUAUAUUAUUACACAUUUUAUAAUUCUUUUCUUUUUCAAAUUAAAAUUUUAAUUUUUUUAAUCAUAUUAAUGCUCCAAGCACUAUUGUUUAUUAAUGAGAGCAAGUACAAAACUUGAUCAUAUUAAUAUGUCAACAUGAUCCUAGUGCACACAUUGGAAUUGGUUAACUCUAAAAUGUUCUACCUGUCUUGUUUUACAAAUUUCAAUUUGGCUUCCUUUGCUAAAUUAUUUCACAUAUAUUGUGAAGAGGAUUCAUCAAAGCAAGUGAAAUCCAAAAUCAUCUUUAAGUUAUUUUAUCAAUGUUAUCCUUGACUUCUACACGGUAAAAUUUAGCAUAUUCAAAACAUCUUUUACUUAUAGGGGCACUUUUAGGAUGAAGUUCGUUCAAAAUUAAAAUGUUAACUAUUAGGUUUGAUAGAUUAGAAUGCAAGAUGAUGUAAUUUUCUUGAUUUCUAUGUUGAGUUGUGUGAUAUUGUCAACUCUAGUUUCGAUCUAGGUGAAAAUCCUUAAAUAUAAGGUAGUAAGAAAAAUUCUUGAGUAUCUCCCUCGGGAAUUUUGACCUAAGGUAACUACCAUAUAGGAAAGUAAGAAUAUUGACUCAUGAGAAUUGAUAAAUUUGUAGGGUUUCUUCAAAUUUGCGAGAUAUUUCUACUUAAUUAUAAGAACCCGAAGUGUGUAGUCCGAAAAGCUUUUAUAAAUGAAGGUAAUGAGUUUGACAAACCAAAGGAUCCAUGUUGAUCUUUUGACCAACUUUCCUUUUUUGCUAAAAAAUAAUGUAAGCUUACAAAAAUCUCUUACAAAAUCAAACUUGAAAAAAGGGAAAUGGCCAAAAAUUAAAGAUGGAAAAAGAGAAGGGUUUGUCUAAAAAGCAAGAAAUUUGAAUGCUUCAACUGUAGCAAAAUAGCACAUAUGACAUUUAAAUCCUAAAAUAGUAAAAAAGCAAUGCAAGUGACUUGAAAUUAUACCAAGUUUGAUGAUUGUGAGUGUGAUGAUUCCUGAUUCCUAUAAAAGUAAAGUAAAAAAUAAUUUAGUUACUUAUGUUGUAUUUGUGACUGUUUCAUAUUGUGAUCCCUUUUUUAAAAUGAAUCAAAAUUAUAAAAGUAAGUUUAAUUUUGAUGAUAUUCAUUUUACCUAUGAUGCAUUGUUUGUAAAAGGUCUUUUGUACACUUUAAAAUUUGUUUUAAUUUUAUUUUUACUUUAAUUUUAAGUCUAAUUUUAUCUUUAAAUUUUAAAUGCGAUCACAAUUGAUUUUUUUGGCUCACUCAUACCCUUUAAAUCUUAUUUUUUGUUAUGUUAUGUUAUUUUAUAUUAUAUUAUAUUAUAUAUUUUAUUCAUUUAUUUUUUAUUUUACUUUUUUUUCUUGCUUGCUUUUAUUUUUUCCCUUCUGUCUCCCCAUACCCCACGUGAGAGACCCCAAACCCCCCUUCUUCUAAUUGUGCUUGCAUUUUGAUUAUUAAUUUACAAAUCUUGGGCUAAAACCUAUAGCAUGUGGGAUAUUUCUAUUGAGUUAUAUUUGUUAAUUUAGACUCAUUUUAAUUGGUAAAAUUUAUUAUAUUAAUUUAAAGUUUGAAUUCGGAUUUGAAUAUUAGUUUUGGAUUUUAUACAUUUUUUAUGUUUAUAUUUAAACUAUUUUUGUAAAUUAAAGCGAGAUUCGUCGUUGAAUGAGAACACACGUGAAAAACAUGGGUCCACACCUCUAUCAUGCUUUAAAAGUUGAAAAUGGUAAUCUACUUAAGGAUUUGGACACCUUAAAAAUUGAGGAAAAAAAAAACUUUUUAAUAUGGUAAAAUUUAGUGUGUUUGAACAUAAUGUUAUAAUUGUUAAAAAUAUUGUUGUAGCGAAGCAGUUUAUUGAAAUGUGAACUAUCGCGGAUUGUUGCUUUUUUGUCGGUCCAUUAAUACACCUAAUUCUUUACUUGGAACUUAAGAGGCAUAACCAUGGCUCUACUAUGUGUUGAAUAAUUUUCACUACUCAAUGGUUUAAAAACAAGAAUGAAAUCUAGUCUACCAUAACGAUGGAUCAAUUGAUAAUUCAAAAUAGGUGAUUUUAGUGGAAAAAGAAGUGCAAAGUUUAAAGAAAAAAUGUUCUAUUUGAUAAAUAUUUUUUAAAAUAGUUUUAAAAAAUAGUUUUUGAAAACUGCUUUUUAAAACAAAAACUUAUUCAGAACUUGAAAUAUUUUCAACAUGUUUUUAAUAUUUUUAAAUAUAUUUUAAAAAUAAUUUUUGUCUAAAACUUUAUUUUUAAUUAAUAUACAUAUUUUAUAAUUAAUUUUUAAAAUAACUCUAAAAAAAUAAAUGAAAACAAGUAAAAACAAUUAAGAGAUAGUUUUUGAAAAUAUCUUGUUCAAUGUUCAAAAUAAAAAACAAUUUUUGAUUGUGAAAUACAUUUUUCAAAUUUUUUUAUAAAAAAGAAAAAAUUCUAAUACCCUAAUUGUCUUGAUUGAUUGGAUUUGAAAACACCAAGUGAAAUAAACGGAGUUUAAGACCAAAAUAAUUUAUUUGUAAAAAAAAAUGAUAAGAAUAGUAUCCAUUUCAAAAUAUUUGUCAAAGUAGUCUUCUUUAUCUACGUAAGCAUCCACAUGGAUUUUAAGUGUAAAAAACCACCGUUGGUGACUGUGGUUUUAAAACUUACAGAAAUUUCCUUAAAACCACAGUUACAAACUGUGGUUUUACAAUUUAUCUUAGAACCAUAGUUAGUAACUGUGGUUUUAAAAGAAGUAUCCUUAAAACACAGUUACAAACUGUGGUUUUACAAUUAUUUUUAAUUCGUCCCUAUUUUAAUGGUGUUAUAAUUUUAAUAUUAUUUUUAAAAUAUUUUUUUUAUCAAAACAACCAUAAAACCACCGUUACUAACUGUGGUUUUACUAAUGGUGUUGUAAUUUUAAUAUUAUUUUUAAAAUAUUUUUUAUCAAAAUAACUAUAAAACCACAGUUAGUAACUGUGGUUUUACAAUUAUUUUCAAUCCACAUCUAUUUUAAUGGUGUUGUAAUUUUAAUAUUAUUUUUAAAAUAUUUUUUAUUAUCAAAAUACCCAUAAAAUCAUAGUUACUAUAACUAUGGUUUUAAAAGAAGUAUCCUUAAAACCACAGUUACAAACUAUGGUUUUACAAUUUCCCUUAAAACCACAGUUAGUAACUGUGGUUUUACAAUUAUUUUUAAUCCACACAUGUUUUAAUGGUAUUGUAAUUUUAAUAUUAUUUUAAAAAUAUUUUUUAUCAAAACAACCAUAAAACCACAGUUAGCAACUGUGGUUUUACAAUUAUUUUCAAUACUCUAUUUUAAUGGUGUUGUAAUUUUAAUAUUAUUUUUAAAAUAUUUUUUUUAUCAAAAUUACAAUUAUGUUGUAAUUUUCACAAAUAUUUUUAAGGGGAACUCAUGUGUAAAAAAGUAUGGGAUUUUAGAACUUUGCUUCUCACAAAUUUUUUUAUUAUGACUGUUUUAAAAUAUAUAUAUAUAUAUAUAUAUAUAUAUAUAUAUAUAUAUAUAUAUAUUUUAUCUUUAUUUUUUCAUAUUUUCCUUGAAAAUUUGAGAAAAUAAUUUGGUCUACAUGCAUUCCCAUAAAAGUUUAUAUAUUUAUGGUAAAUAAAAUAUUUAUUUGUUUUACAAAUAUUUUCACAUAUGAACUAAAGAAAAUUAUUUAUUCAUAUUAUUUUUAAAAUUUAAAAUAACUAAAGAAAUUGUUUAUAUUAUUUUAAAAUUUUAUAUUUUCAUAUGAAAAUUAAUGCCAAUGAUUAUGAUUUUAGGUUAUUUAUUAUUAAGUAUGAUUUGAACUUAUGUCUUGGUUAAAAUGUAUAAUUUUUUAAUUAUAUGAAAGAAAAAUAGGUAAUGGUUGUAAUAAUUUAUUUAGUUAGAAUUUCUUUCAUUUAGACUUUAGGAUACAUUUGAGUUUUAUUUGUUUAAAUUAUCAAGGAAACAUGUGAAUAACAUAACAUCACUAAUUUGAAUUAACACUUUAUAUAACCUUAAAUGUAUAAACCAAAGUAUAAUAGUUCUACAAACAUGAAAAAUUAUCUCAAUGUGUCCCACAUGAUGGAAUCUUUCUCUUUCGUUGUGAACAUCUACGGUAGAUGGCCAUAUUUGUUGUAUCCAUCUGUGCUAUAUGAAAAGUCUCCAUCUCUAUAGACUGUGACACGUCAUCUACAUGAGUUGUUGAGAUAGAUGGAACUGAUGGAGGUAGAACUCGACGUACACGUGGAGCUCGAUGUCCUCUAGGUACCAGUACAUGUAAUCGUGUAGCAUGAGCUGUCCCCUGAAGAAAAGGUAGAGAUGCAAUGGACUCUAUAACAGGUGGAGGUGCAAUAGACUCUGUAACAGGUGGGGGUGCAAUAGACUCUGCAAUAGGUGGGGGUGCAUCCAAUGAUAUAGAUGGCUGAACAGGGGUAAGGGUAGAUGGUAUGGUAGUCUCGGGUCGAGGUGAAUAGGCUGGUAUGGAUACAUCAGGGGGAGAAAGUGGCGACUCUAAUGAUGCAGAUGGCUGAAAUAAAGGAAAGGUAGAUGUGAUUGGUGGAUGUGAGGGUUGUACCAAAGUAGAUGCCAAAGGUACAUGUCGGUGACCAGCUCGACGACCAUCUCUCCCCCGACCUCUAAUGGGUGGUACCCUAACAGGCGUAAUCAAUGAUGGUGUUCUCAUGGAUGACCCUGAAGAUGUGGAUGGCUCAUGUGUCGAGUGUACAUGAUGGUCCUCUCCUAUAGCACGUAAAACAUCAAUAGCAAUUCAAUGAGUUUCCUCUAAAUCAUUUGAAAUAGCCAUCUGCGAUACGACGGUGAUCUGUAUAAGAAAAUGAAACAUGAGGCAUUUGCACAUAAUUUAAGUUUAACAUUCAUUAAAAAAUGGUUUUGUAUCUCAAAUGCUUUCACCAAUAACUCAGUGGCAGAAGCUGCACUAUGGAACCUCAUAUGAUCUCUAUGCAAAACAGGUGCGAUCAGGCGUCGCAUGAUACGUCGAUACCACUGCAUAUAUGGAUCAUAAAAAGACAUGGUAGUAAUCGCAAGUGGUGCUGUCGCAAUACGCUCAGAACGAGUAGCCCAAAGAGAAAUAUACUGAGCAUGGAAUGUGACCCAAUCGUACUGAUGUCGUCCUCGCCUAUCCACUAAAUGUAGCUCCAUAUCUAUCAAACAAGGUGGAGGUAUCCCUUGUUGCAUACGAAACUGGCGUAAAACUCGCUCUGGUCUAUGCCACUCGAUAAUAUCAAAGCAAAUUAGAGGUAACAUAGUUCGCCAAAUUUCUUCAUCAGCCUGACAUAUAGCCGGAAGAUGUGCAAUCAAAUCUGUUGUAUAUGGUUCCCAUAAUACCUGUAAUUGACCAGUAGUAAUGGUUGAGAAAGUUGAACAUGUAAAAUAUGCCACAAAAAAUAUGAAAAAUUAGCACUAAUGUGAAGAGCAUGCUUUGAUCAGUGUAAAGCAAAGACCAGUACAUUAAGCUAUACAUUAAGCAGGAGUGUAUUUCCAUUCCAUAUUGGGAUUUCAUAGGUUUCCCCUAAGCACCCUGCUAAAGGCCAUAUUUAAUUUCAAACCCUUCAACUUUCAGUCAGUAAACUCUCAUUUUAAUAACCAAGGCAUAAUAACAUCUUUCACAUACUUAUCCAAGAAAAGUUAAAAGGAAAAAACAUCAUCAACAGUUAUCAUCAUCCAAUUUGUGAUUGGAAUUGGCUAAAAAGAAAAAUUUACACUUCAUGUGCAGGGAUAACAGAAAAUAAUAAACCAAAUGAUAGUGUAGUCACAAAUUCAUCAGGGGUGGCCCUGUCCUGUAAUACAUCAUCAUUAUUCCAGGUAUAAUCAAAGCCAGAUAGCAAUAGACCAUUUGUCCCAAUUUUGAGGAACUCAUUGAAACAUAUUCUUUUCUAAAAUUAAUAGCCACUUGAUGCAUUGUAACUAUGUUAAUUUCCAACAUAUUAACUCCAUUUUUAUAGAAAAAAGAAUUUUUUUUUUCUCCAUUUCGAAACCCCAAUUCGAAAAAACCUUAACCUCUCCAAGUCUCUCUCUCUCCCCCACCUUCAUCCAAUCCGAAAUCCAUAUUUUGGAUCACGAUGAAGAUGAAUCAUGGGCAGAUCAACAGUUAUCAGGAUUCCGAGAUGAGAGGAAAAUGAGGCAAAGGUUAGGGUUUUUCGGGUUCCAGGAUAAAAGGAAUACAAGGUGGAGGAAAGGGUUUUUCAAGUUUUUUGGAUAGCUAUGAAAUUGAAAACAACUUGAGAUUUUUAAAAUUUUCAAAACAACUUGUUUUCCUCUAUUUGGUUGGUGAGAAAGCUAAGGAAAAUGAGUGGGAAAAAACUCAUGAACCCGAAAAAAAUUUACCUAGCUGCUGGUGGGAGCCACUGGUGGGAGCCGCAACCGGUGAAGAGAGAAAAUGGAGCCGUAGAAAAGAGAAUACUUUCUGGAUUGUUGAUUUCGGGAAAAAAUUGGGUCUCCAAAGUAAAAAAAACAAGUUUGACGAAGAUGGCUUGUUGAUGUGGAUUGCUGAUGUAGAUUCAAAAGAGUAUUUUGGCAAAUAGUUUGAAAAUUGGAUUAGUUUGGGUUUUUUUUUCCAAAGAAAUACUACUUUGGCUGUAAACUCAAAUAAACGUGCACAUCAAAGAAUCAUGUGUGGAAGUGAAUGGAGGGCAAAGCCUUUAAUGCAACAACUAAAAAUUCACAGUUCCAUGCGCAUGGAUGCUUGGGUCCCAAAGUCUCAUCCUUCUUUGUUGCAAAGAGAUUUUCUAAACCACAAGCUUUUCCGGUAAAACACAAGUGGUGCUUCACUGAGUUUUGGGUCAAAAUGACCCAUUUAUUAAAAAAAAUAUAUAGGAUCUAACCACUUUAUGAAACUUAUAUUCAAAUAACCACUUUAUGAAACUUAUAUUCAAAUAACCACUUUAUGAAACUUAUAUUCAAAUUGAUAUUUUGGUACCAAGUAGGAGCUUUGUCACUGUAGACCCUCAUUUUGGCGUAAGUCUUUUUUAUUAUUUUUGAAGUACUUUGCUGCCAGCAUGAUUUAGAGUGGGGGUCGGUUUCCUUUGGAGCCACAUGCAUGGGACGCAUGACCAAGAACACACCACCAUCUCGCCAUGGUGGUGGUUGAAAUGGGAUUGGUUUUGAACGGAUGACAGAGAAUGAGAUAGGGAGCAGUGGAACGGGUGAGGGGAGAGUUUUUCAAAGAAAAAACUGGUGAGUUUUCCGGAGGGGGGGGGAGAGCUGUAAGAAACAGAGACGGUUGGGAGAGAAAGAAAAAACAAACAGAGUUGGGUGAAGUUUUUUUGGGGAAGAAAAAAUCUGGAGAGUGGGUUCUUGGGACAAUUGGGGGGAGUGAGGGUCUUCAUUUUUGAACCGUAGCUGCAGGAAAUAGGCUGAGAGAGCUUUUUGGUGAGAGUUUUUUUUUAGAGCAAAGAAGGGAAAAGGAAAUAUAAGAGUAGUAGCUUGGAAGAAAAACAGGGGAGUUGAGUUAGCUGUUGGGGGGAGUGCUGGAAAACGUGAAUAGCUUGAGAGAGAUGAGAAGUGGAGAUCUAGCUUUUCGGGAGAGGAAAAGAGAGAGUUGGACUUAUGCGGGUGGUAGCUUGGAAGAAAAAUAAAAAAAUGGGUGAGCUGAGCAUGGAAACCAGGGAGGAGAGGGGAUGAAAAUGAGUGGAAGUGGAUUCCGGAGGGAGAGGUAAAGUGUAGGAUAAGAUGAGACUGGGAGAAAAGAUCUGGGUGUUGAGAGUCUGAUGGUUUUUUAUUAGGAAGUUGUGAAGAAGUCAUUACAUGCAGUGGGGUUUCCUCAGGUUUUUUUCCAUUUGGGUUCCUUCUCAAAAGGUGAUAUUUUUCUAUUUAUUUAUACAUCUUCUGAGUUUCGUUUUUGUUGGGAUUUUGUGAUGGUAGGUUAGAGAAUUUCUGCUUUGUUUUGGAAUCCCAUCUUUGUUUUUGAGUUCUUGACUUAUUAUCAUCAUGAUGACGGUUGGAAAAUUUGGUUUGCUCAGCUGAGUUUUUCCACCUAGAAAUGGCACAAUUGAGGCUAUGGGCAUAACAUAGCAUGGAAAACUCAACUAAAUGAUGGGUCCUAAUACUAUUAGCUCAUUUCCAAUUUUCCAUUCUUCCCAUUUUCUCAUACGGCCACCAAACCUAUUUUUUUCUCACUAUUUCCUCCACUUAAAUUGAUUUCAAUUCGCUAUCAUGCGGGUGCAACCCACAUUUCCAUUUUAAUUCUCCAUUUUUUUUUUAUAUCAAAGUUCAAUUUUCCAAAAUUCCCACUUUUAAAUUUAAUCUUCAAAUAAUUUUCCAAAAUUUCAAUUUUCAACUUAAAAUUUUUUAAAACUUCCAUUUUAAAAUAAUUUCCCAAAAUUCUGAUUUUUAAAUUUAUUUUUUUUAAAUUUAAUUCUCAAACAAUUCUUCAAAUUUUAAUUUUCAAAACUUCAAUUUUCAAGUACUUUUCUAAAAUUCCAAUUUUCAAAUCCAAUUUUCAAAAUUUCAUUUUUCAAAUAAUUUUCCAAAGUUCAAAUUUCCAAAUUUAAAUUUUUAAAGAUUCCAAUUCUUAAAUUUAUUUUGCAAAACUCCAACUCUCAAAUAAUUUUUAAAAUUCCACUUUCUUUCAAUUUUAAUUUCCAAAACUCCAAUUCUUAAAUUUAAUUUUCAAAACUCCAAUUCUCAAAUAAUUUUUAAAAUUCCAAUUUCUUUCAAAUUUAAUUUCCAAAAUUCCAAUUCUUAAAUUUAACUUUCAAAAUUCCAUUUUCAAAUAAUUAUCCAAAACUCCAACUUUCAAAUUUAAUUUUAAAAAUUUCAUUCUCAAAUAAUUUUCAAAAUUCCAAUUCUUAAAUUUAAUUUUCAAAACUUUAAUUCUCAAAUAAUUUUCAAAAUGCCAAUUUCUUUCAAAUUUAAUUUCCAAAAUUCGAAUUCUUAAGUUUAAUUUUCAAAACUCCAAUUUUCAUUUAAUUUCUAAAACUCAAAUUCUUAAAUUUAAUUUUCAAAACCCCAAUUCUUAAAUUUAAUUUUCAAAACUCCAAUUCUUAAAUAACUUUCAAAAUUCCAAUUUCUUUCAAAUUUAAUUUCCAAAAUUUGAAUCCUUACAUUUAAUUUUCCAAUUUUCAAAACUCUCAUUUUCAAAAUUCCAAUUUUCAAAUUGAAUUUUCAGAACUCCCAUUUUCAAAUAAUUUUUUCAAAAUUCAAAUUUUUAAAUUUAAUUUUCGAGACUUCAAUUUUCAAAUAAAUUUCAAAACUCCAGUUUUCAUUCAAAUAGUUUUAAUUCCACUCCAUUUUUCAAAUAUUUUAGAUUCACAAAUUUUCUUUCAUUUUCAAAUAAUCUUUUGUUUUCCUUAAUUUUUUUAAAUAAGCAUGAAUAUGCAAUUUUCAUAAUUCCAAAACAAUGGAAUUUGUGGGAUUAAUUCAUGCAAAAUCAUUUGGGCUUUGGUGGGGGCCUUACAUAUGAAUUUUCUUUUCUGAUUGUCGAUUGUUAUGUUUAAUGAAUAUUGCUUGAUCUUUGUCUUGCUCUUUGAUAUUCAUGUGAUAAUUUUAUACUUGAGCUAACCAUGUUUCUAUGAUAGCGCAUUAUUACUUGCUUCUAAGGUACGAUUUCACUCCCACUGAGCUUAUUCUUAUGUAUGAUUUAUUUUAUUAUUCGAUCAUUUCAUUAGUAUUCAUCGAUUUCCUUAUCAAUUGCCACACUUGCCUCACCUUAUUUAGUAGAGACCCGUUUUUUGGGGCUUAGAUGGGUGCUACGGCUCACCACCGUACCUUCCCAAUAGGUAGCCUUACCCCUGGACCUAGACUCGAUUUUUCAUAGACCUGUUUUUUCUUCAAGAGUUACACUUAGGAUUUUGUUUUUCCCUUAAAAAAAUAAAACAAAAAUAAGUGGCGACUCCAAGUCUUUUCUAAAAAUCAUAUUUUCACCAAAUCAAUUAAAAAGCGAGUUGCACCAUUGAGUGGGAACGCAUCGUGCGAAAUGCGGGGUCCAUAGUCACAAAAAAUAUUUUUUUUAAUCAUUUUAGUUAAAGUCUCAAUUGACAACUGAGACUUCAUUUUUUAAGUGAAGCCUCAAUUGACAAUUGUGACUUUAUUUUUUAACUGAAACCUCAAUUGAUAACUGAGGCUUCAUUUUUGAACUGAAGCUGUAGUUGCCAACUGAUGCUUCAUUUUUAAACUGAAAUCUCUAUUGGUAACUACGACUUCAUUUUUGAGCUAAAACCGCAAUUGUCAAUUGAGACUUUAGUUAAUUUUGUUUUUAAAUUUAAAUUUAAUUAAAAAUUAUUAACUAAUAAUUUAUUAUUGAAAUAAAAAAUAUAUACUUUAAUAAUAAAUUAUUUAUAUUUAAACUUAAGAAUCUAAUAUUAUUUCAACAAACAUAAAUUGAUAGAUAGAAGAUAUUAUAAAUGAAUAUUUUAUUUAUUAAUAAUCUUAAAAUAAUAAAUUUAUAUAACAUAUAAAUAAGAUAUAAAAUUGUAUAAUUUAUUCAUUUAAGAUAUUUAAUUUAUUAUUUUUUUAAUAUAUUAAUUUAUUUGUAUUAUAUCAAAUUUAUCCAUGGGUUCUUUAUUUGUGGAGGCAUAUGAGAUUAUAUGUGUUUUUUUUUUUCCAGCAUAUAAAUGUUUAGUGAGUAUUUUUUGUGACUUUGAUGAAACUACUAAAAUUUUUAUUUUUUAGUAGACUUUUUCUAAUUAAUUUCAUUAACUAAUUUUAUCAAAAAAUCUAUAUAUGAAAACUUAAGAGUAUACUAUUAUUUCGAUAAAGAUAAAUUUGUCAUAAUACAAAUAAAUUAAUAUCUUAAAAAAUAACAAAUUAAAUAUCUUAAAUUAAUAAAUUAUAAAAUUUGAUAACUUAUUUGUAUGUCAUAUAAUUUUAUUAUUUUAAGAUUAUUAUUUUAUUGUAUUAUAUUUAUCAUUUAUGUUUAUUGAAGUAAUACUAGAUUUUUAAGUUUAAAUAUAAAUAAUUUAUUAUUAAAGUAUAUAUUUUUAAUUUCAAUAAUAAGUUGUAAUUUAAUAGUUUUUUUAUUAAAUUUGAAAGUAAAAAAAAAAUAUUAACUGAAACUUCAAUUGGCAACUGCGGUUUAGGAGUAUACUAUUAUUUCGAUAAAAAUAAAUUUAUCAUAGUAUAAAUAAAUUAAUAUCUUAAAAAACAACAAAUUAAAUAUCUUAAAUUAAUAAAUUAUAUAAUUUUAUAUCUUAUUUAUAUGUUAUAUAAAUUUAUUAAUAAAUAAAAUAUUGAUUUAUAAUAUCUUCUAUUUAUCAAUUUAUAUUUGUUGACAUAAUACUAGAUUCUUAAGCUUAAAUAUAAACAAUUUAUUAUUAAAGUAUAUAUUCUAAAUUUUAAUAAUAAAUUAUAAUUUAAUAGUUUUUAAUUAAAUUUUAAAAAAAAAAAUAACUCAAACCUCAGUUGACAAUUGAGACUUUAGUUCAAAAAUAAGGUCUUAGUCGUCAAAUGAGACUUUAAUUAAAAAAAUGAAAUCUCAAUUAGCAAUUACGACUUUAGUUCAAAAAUUAAAGUCUCAAUUAACAACUGUGACUUUAGUUUAAAAGUGAAAUCUCAGUUGCCAAUUGAGACUUUAACUAAAAUUAAAAAAAAAAAAAUAUUUUUAUGACAUGCCUCCUAUGUAACAUCAAAUAUCAAAGAGACUAAUUUAAACAUAAAUUUCAUAAAAUGGUUACAUCCAAUAUUUUUUUUUAUAUAAAUGGGACAUUUUGACCCAAAACUCUGCUUCACUACUAUUUGGUCAAUUUCAUGACAUGCCCUUUGACGUGAAGUUCUUUACAUUAGUUCCUAAAAUCGAUUUUUCACAUUGACCUUGGUCAAUAGGCUGUGCUUUAAGCUUUGUUUACUGGACACGGUUGUUCAUUUGGAAGAAUCAAGGAAACCCCCCUUAGUGUCCUGGAAUUUUCUUCUUUCCACUUCUGACAUUCCAGACAAGAGUGGGUGAACCAAGUACGAACUUUUGAAUUGGUCCAUUUGGUUCUUAUUGCAAUUCAGUCGACAGCAAAGGUGAUUUCGUACACAAGGACUUACUGGGAAUCUUCUCCAUCAAUUUUGUGGUUGGUAAAAUCUGAUAUAUAUGCAAACACCAACGUCACUGUUGUUUAGAACAUUACAAAUCAAAUGGUCCUUCAAACCCUACUUACUUGCCGUGCAUGAUAAUGAGGUGAAAUCAUCUGCAGAGAGGAACAAGCCCAUAGAAAAAGACCAUGUUCAAGAAAAAGCAAAUUGGUUGUUUUGUAGCUGUUAAAACAUAUGCCCAAUGCGACGAAAUAGUAAAUUCCAAAAACAGGAGGAACAGAGUUCAGAGGAUUCUACAAGUACAUGACUAAGAGGAGUGAAACCCUGUUUAUGCACUCCCAUUCCUAAAAGCCCGUUCUAAUCUGCAACAAAGUGAACGCAAGAUUGCUAGAAAGCCUACACGAAAACUAUAACCCACCAUGAUUGAAGGCAGUAAUAUACCAAUCUAUCAGGUUCCAUCAUCUUUAACAAAAUAUCAAGGACAUUAGCAGAAUGGAAGGACAUAUGAUCAAUAAAUUUAUGUCAAAAAUGAGAAAAAAUACACAUGAGAAAGUAUUAUAGAUGUGCAUACCUUUCGAGUCUUCAACAUUCGAAAACCAUCUCUAAAUCAGCCAUGACUUAGAAUCUCUAUAUGUUUAUACAAUUUACACUGCAGAGAUUAGAACCAGGAACACAUAUCUCCAUAUAGUCCAGAGCAACUCUUACCUAUGGCUCCAUCUUUGUCAUACCCAACCAAAGUACGACAAUUGUAGUUGAUGUGUAACAAACACAAGAAAUUUAUAAAUUUCUUUAGUAUUUCAUGAAUGAAAGAUGUUACUAAACACCUGGAAGCACUCCAAUGUUAUAAAAGAGGACAUAAGACUCUGAGCAAUAAGGACUAAACAAAAUAUCCCAUGUGACACUAAACGGUUGGCAGAAAUAGAUGCAACUCAAUUUUCAUAACAAAAUAAUUACAGCAUCCUAGGAAGAGCCAAAAUAAGGCCCUUCAAUAACUCCAUGAUGUUGAUACUCCAUUAAAGAAUAACCUUCGAGAACACUAAAGUCUACAUCUACGAAAAGUCGAGGGUAAGGGUAAAAACUAAAAUAAUCUUUUUUUGAAGAAGUUGGUCACAUAGAGCACCAGUCAGAACCAGUGUAAGUUAUCAAAGCACGAGAUAACAUGAAAUAAACAAAUCUAAGUUCAACAAAUUCACAUUAGCAAGGUUAAUUCGACCUUGGAAUCAGUAACUCCAACUUUCAUUCAUAAACAAUCAUUCAAUUUAGAAAUAAAAUGAGAACAAAUUCUGCCAAACAACUCUGAUUGGACAGCCAAACUAUCAUACUUCCUAAUACCUUUCAACUUUUCAGUAUAUUUUGUAUGGAUAAAAAAUAGAUAAAUCUUCAAGUCAGGAAAGAACUACGAAUGGAAGUGUGACAGUUUAGUAAGAUUUAUCAUUCAUUUUAAGAAACCAACUGGAAAGGCAGAAUUGUGGGCUUUUGCAGUUAAGUGUCACAAGUAGAAUGGUUCUGAAGGUUUAAGACAUUAGCAAUGGCAAAUGAAAUUAAACAUGGAUAUUGUUGAUGCACUGUACCUGUUCCAACCGCAAAGAGAAUAGAAAUCGAGCUAUCAUGUGCUAAUUUUAUUCAAAUUGCACAGAGAUGGUACAUGUCCUCCAAUCACCAUAUGAUCUAUUGGCCAUUAAAUCUAAAAUGCUGAAGCUACGAAAAUUACAUCCCUCAACUUCCACCUCCCAACUCCCCAAAAAAGGAAAAGAAAAAGAGGGUUCAAGUUUUCUUCUGAUACAGCUUAGGACUUAGAAGCAAUAGGAAAACAAUAUCCACCAACCACAAAAUAUCCUCCCUCCUUACGAAAAGAAAAUAAUUGAUGAUUGGGCAAAGAACAGAGAGACUUAAAAACAAUCAUAAGAAUCAUAAUGAACAAGAAUGCAAAGGAUCCUAAACCACAAUUGAAAGAAUGUUUUACCAAGCACUCUUCUCCCCAGCUGAAUAGUACUUGAGAUACCACCUAACAAAUUUUUUCAAGCCUGUCUGUAGAUCUGUUGUGGGCUUAUACCCGAGCUCCCUUUGAGCCAAGCUGAUGUUGGCAUGGGUAAACUGCACAUCCCCAUUCCUUGGCAUCUUUAUCAUCUUCCUUUUUGCCUUCACCUUCAGGAGCCUCUCCAAAAUGCUCACAAGAUCCGUAACUGGAACUGGUGAUGUGUUGCCCAAAUUGAAAAUCCUCAAUUGAGCUGGCCCCUUCUUCUUCCCUCCACUACCAGUGCUCUUCUCCGCCGUAUCCAAUGCUGCCACACACCCCUUCACGAUAUCAUCAAUGUAGGUAAAAUCCCGGGCAACCGUACCACGAUUUGGUGCCUCAAAGAUGGGAAUCGAUUUCUCCUUCAAAAUAUCCCGCGUGAAAAAGAAAUACGCCAUAUCAGGCCUCCCCCAAGGUCCGUAAACGGUAAAGAACCUCAACCCAGUAAGCGAAAGGCCAUAUAUAUGAUUAUAAGUAUGGGCAAUCUCUUCGCCAGCCUUCUUGGUGGCGGCAUACAGGCUGGCAGGCUGAUCAGUCCGAUCUCUCUCGGAAAAGGGUACCUUUGUAUUGAGUCCAUACACUGAACUCGAAGAAGCCCACACAAUUGCAGGCUGUGGAUUCGCAGAUUUACAGACUUCAAGAAGAUUAACAAGGCCAGCAAUAUUACUA